GUUUCUUGCUGGUGGCUCGACGAGAUAGCCAUGGCCUUCUGCUAAAGGCAAUUUGCUUUUAGCGAGGAAGACUAGGAAUAUGAAUCCUGAUAAUCGCAUUGUUUGACCGCUCUCGACAGGAGCUGUACUCCCUCUGAAAAAAAUGGCAAAUGGUUUCUUAGUGGGGAGAGAGGUCUUUUUAACGGGUACCCAGAAACAACCACGGAUAGAACUUAUAUCAUGAACAUUCUUGGGCUUGAACUAGAGUAUGACGCUUCCAGAGGAACACUGAAAGCAAAAGAGGGGUAUUCCAAAGAUUCCAAUAGUACUAAAAACUUUUAACGGGUACCCAGAAACAACCACGGAUAGAACUCAUAUCAUGAACAUUCUUGGGCUUGAACUAGAGUAUGACGCUUCCAGAGGAACACUGAAAGCAAAAGAGGGGUAUUCCAAUAGUACUAAAAACUUUUAACGGGUACCCAGAAACAACCACGGAUAGAACUCAUAUCAUAAACAUUCUUGGGCUUGAACUAGAGUAUGACGCUUCCAGAGGAACACUGAAAGCAAAAGAGGGGUAUUCCAAAGAUCCCAAUAGUACUAAUUGCCAUGUAAUGUCAAUUGGUUGAACGAGAAAAUGUUUGAGCGCGUUGAAAAUUUGUUACAUUAAGCGUUAACUGUUUUAUUACAUUAAGCGUCGAUUUGUUGUUACAUUAAGCGUUAGUGUUACAUUAAACGGCGAUUUUUGUUACAUUAAGCGUUAGUGUUACAUUAAGCGGCAGUUAGUACAUUAAGCGGUGAUACACCCCUCCUGAUAAUUAUUGCACAGUACCUAAUGAUAUUUUUAGACACUAAAUAUUCAAAAUAACACCAUAAAAACAGUGUCGCGCAAGUAGGAUCCAGAGUCACGCAAGUAGGAUCCAGAGUCACGCAAGUCGGAUCCAGUUUCGCGCAAGUUGGAUCCAAUGUAGCGCAAGUCGGAUCCAAUGUUACUCAAGUCGGAUCCACUGUCACGCAAGUCGGAUCCAGUGUCACCUAAGUCGGAUCAAUAGUCACGCAAGUCGGAUCAAGAGUCACGCAAGUUGGAUCUAGUGUCACGCAAGUCGGAUCAAGUCUCGUAAGUCUGAUCCAGAGUCGUGCAAAUUAGAUCCAAUGGCACGCAAGUCGGAUCCAGUUUCGCGCAAGUUGGAUCCAAUGUAGCGCAAGUCGGAUCCAAUGUCACGCAAGUCGGAUCCACUGUCACGCAAGUCGGAUCCAGUGUUACCCAAGUCGGAUCAAUAGUCACGCAAGUCGGAUCAAGAGUCGCGCAAGUCGUAUCCAGAGUCGCGCAAUUCAUAUCCAGAGUCGAGCAAGUCGGAUCCAGUGUCGCGGUGACAAUGUCCUAACACGGAGAACCAUGGCGCAUGCGGGCAACAGCGCCAAAAACAAUACACCAGAGCUAAAUGCGGAUUUAUUAGUAUUAUCAUUAUAUGUGUAUAUAUAUUCUCAUAUGGAAUUCGUCUCGAACGGGCACAAUAAACUUAGAAACUGAGAUACCAGAUAAAGAACUUUCCUUUAAUAGUUUUAUUACAGAGAUAAAUUAUUACAGAGAUAAAUUAGCAGGGCGGACACAAGCAUUUUUCCGCUCUCCACGAAAACGGAAAUUCUAGUUAUCAUUCACUUCGGAAAGCAAAAUCAGUCUCAGAUAUCUGUAAGGAAACUUUUAGUACUUCGUUUCAAGAGGCUAUUCGGGAUUUCAGAGACUCCCUACAGCCAUUGGCACUGAAUUCCGCGCCAUUGAUAUCUGACAACUCUUCUGAUGAAAGGGAUGAAUCACUUCAUAGCGAUAUACAAGAACCGCUACUGAAUGGGAAGAAUCUCGAGUCGAAUACAGUUACUUCAUUGAAAGAAGAACUUACUAGGCGAGCUCUCUCUACAGCAGGAAAGAAAAAUGAUCUGGUCAGCCGUUUGAGAAAGGCAAUGGCGUCGGUCGCGAAGGACCGCUUCGCCGGUAACGAAGGAGUCGGUUGUAAUCGAUCUGGAUCAAUCUGCUGCGAAUAAGCCCGAAUCUCAGAGGCCAGUUUGUCAUUGCCAUCAGCUUUUCCUUGAACUCAAGAAGGAUAUCGAUCAACUGAGGGGCAAACAGUGUUCUGAAGAUUUCAGGAAUCAAAAUAAUACUCUUCGUCUACGAGUGUUAGCUUUGGAAGAGGAACGUCAAAAAAAUUAUGAAGAGAGAGAUUCAUUAAAGCUUGCGCUGCAAAUAAAGUCUAAAGAAUUAUAUUCCUGCACCAAGUCAAGUAGUCCUGCUUCUACACUGAAUGGGGCAGUUGAGCUGGGCAGCGAGCAACUCCAACCUAAAUCUACAGCAGCGUCGUCAGACGCUCAAACAAAGGGGAAAAAGAAAAAGAAAAAUGCAGAUAAAAAAAAAUCGGCACAAGGAACCUCGGAUCCAACCGGAUUCCCAAGGCAAAGUCGGCUCAACCUCAUUAUCUCGAUCUGAGCAAGAUCCAAAUCGGAAACAAAAUGUGGUGAUGGCCGGCGACUCAAUUGUGAAAUUUGUUAAGGGAUGGGAGUUGGCGAACUCUGGGCGUCGUGUUUCUGUAAGACCAUUUCCAGGAGCAACUGUUGCUGCGAUGAACCAUUAUGUCCAACCCAUUAUAGACGAGAGACCCGACAAGGUUAUCCUACAUGUUGGAACUAAUGAUCUGCGUAAUAUGGAACCACAGCAAAUUGUGGACUCCAUUACUGAUAUUGGUCGAGGGAUUCAGGCUAACUCUCCUGACACGGAUGUCGUGAUCUCUGCACUUCUGCAGCGUUGUGAUAGUCAUGAAUUUGGGGCUAAAGUUAAAGAGACGAACCGUAUCCUACGUUCUUUCGCCAAUCAGAAUGGUUGGUCGUUCCUACCCAACGCAAACAUCAACUCUAGUCAUUUGAACUCCCGUGGACUACAUCUGAACCCGCAAGGUACUCAGGUACUUCAGAGUAACUUUAAUCAAAUUUUAAAUAAUUAGCAUGAUGGUACUGUGAGUGGUCAUUUUUGUUCCGUUCGAGGCAUAAAUUCCACUGAUUCCAUAGUUCCGAAUUUACGAGGGUUUAAAAUGGCUCUGCUAAAUAUUGUUAGUUUGCCUAACCAUAUUGACGAGAUAAGAAUAAUGAAUAUGCUUGACAAUGUUGAUGUGUUCGGGUUUAAUGAAACUAGGCUAGAUGAAACGGUUACAAACGGUGAAAUGAAUAUUCCAGGAUUUGAUAUCAUAAGGAAAGACCGGAAGCGUAACGGUGGCGGUGUUUGUUUAUAUGUUCGUGACUCGCAUAAUUACCGCAUCCGAAACGAUUUGGUCCCUGAAGACCUAGAAGCAGUUUGUGUUGAAAUUAUUAAGCCGAAUAGCAAACCAUUCAUUGUUUGUACCGUUUAUCGCCCAUUUAUUAUCAGUUCACGUGAAUUCUUUGUUAGUUUUGAAAACUUGAUAAAGAAUCUGGAUAACUUAGCUAUUGAAUUUCAUCUCCUAGGAGACCUCAACGGGAAUAUGCUCUCUGAGGUUCCAACAUAUGAAGCUAAAAUAUUUAAAAGAAUUUAUCAAACGUAUCAACUAUCUCAAUUGAUAACAAAGCCCACGAGAAUAACUAAGUCAUCAAAAAGUUUACUGGACCAUUAUGUAACCAACUCGCCUGAAAAGAUUGUGAAAACAGGUGUUAUUCAAACAGGUUUGAGUGACCAUGGAAUGAUUUUCGGCAUUCGCAAAAUCAACUAUAAAACACCAUUGAAUUCUAAACCUAAAAUCAUUGAAAUUAGAAACAUGAAAAGAUUUAAUGAACAGCGAUUUAUUGAGGACUUAGGCAAACAACCUUGGCACAUGAUCGCAUUGAUGCCUGACACGGAAUCAAUGUGGUCGUGCUGGAAAACGCUUUUUCUCGAAGUCCUUGAUAAAUACGCUCCGCUCCCUGAGUAGGGUUAAAUUUCGGCUUAGGGAAAAUAAAUUGAGCCUUAAUGUUGCUAAAACCGAAUUUUCGCUGAUUGGAUCUCGUUAUAAGUUAAACAACUUAGAUAAACAGCCAUCUCUCAGAAUCGAUUCUAGCAACAUUAAGCAAGUAUCCCAUAGCAAAUUAUUGGGAGUGACAGUUGAUAGUCACUUGUCAUGGGCCAACCAAAUUGAUGAAAUUGCAAAAAAAGUCUCCUGUGGUAUAGGUGCAAUAAGGAGGAUUAAGGACUAUGUGGACAGAAAUACUCUAAUCUCUAUCUACAAUGCCCUUAUUAAACCCUACUUUGGGUAUUGCAGUGAGGUAUGGGAUACUCUGGGCCAGGGCCACGUUAGAAGAUUGCAAGUCCUACAAAACAGGGCUGCCCGAGUUAUUCUAAACUGGAGGAAUGACUCCCCCCAUCUAGAGGCGCUUGCUGCCUUAGGAUGGGACACUUUAGAAGAACAAUGGGCAAAAUCUAAAUCUAAAACAAUGUUUAAAGUGUUAAAGGGUCAAGCCCCAGAAUGUUUAACCAAAUUAUUUAAGUUCAAAAAUGAAGUUACUUAAAUUGAUCUCAGGGGUUCAACUUCCUCACUGCAACUACCCCUCCCUAAAACUGAAAACAUGAAAAAAUAUUUUUUAUAUAGCGUAGCAAAACUGAACAGCUUAUCCCCUGAAACAAGAGAAUGUGAUACAUUUAAUGCCUUUGUAACAAAAUUAGCCUCUCACAAAAACCAGUUUUAAGAAUUUAUUUUUUUUUUUACAAAAAGAAAUUAAAUAUCUAUAAAUAUUUAUAUACAAUUAGUAAAAUUAUUGUAAAUAUUGUAUCAUGUAUAAAAGUAGAUAGCCAACGCCCCUUGUGAAAACCAGCUAUUGUUGUCAGGGUUAUAGCGUAGUAAAAUGAAAGCUACUACUACUA